rnacentral:rRNA from 1 species
CAUUACAGAAGGAUAUCGCCCUCGGGCUUCUCUUCUCACCCUUUGUUUACCACACGUAGUUGCCUUGGCGCGGAGCGCCAGUGGAUCGAAACUCCUGAAUCAUUGCCGUCUGAGUACUAUUCAAUAGUUAAAACUUUCAACAACGGAUCUCUUGGUUCUGGCAUCGAUGAAGAACGCAGCGAAAUGCGAUAAGUAAUGUGAAUUGCAGAAUUCAGUGAAUCAUCGAAUCUUUGAACGCACAUUGCGCCCUCCGGUAUUCCGGGGGGCAUGCCUGUUCGAGCGUCAUUACAACCCUCAAGCUCUGCUUGGUGUUGAGCCCGCCCCGGCCUGCCCGGGGCUCGCUUCAAAGUCAGUGGCGGCCGCCGUCCGACCUUCAGCGCAGUAAUGCUCGCCGCUGUUAGGGAAGGGUAGCAAGGGCCGUCAUACAACCCCCACACACAAGGUUGACCUCGGAUCAGGUAGGGAUACCCGCUGAACUUAAGCAUAUCAAUAAGCGGAGGAAAAGAAACCAACAGGGAUUGCCUCAGUAACGGCGAGUGAAGCGGCAACAGCUCAAAUUUGAAAGCUGGCUCCUUCGGGGCCCGCGUUGUAAUUUGUAGAGGAUGCUUCGGGCGCGGCGCCGGUCUAAGUUCUCUGGAACGAGACGUCAUAGAGGGUGAGAAUCCCGUAUGUGACUGGCUGCCUGUGCCCAUGUGAAGCUCCUUCGACGAGUCGAGUUGUUUGGGAAUGCAGCUCAAAAUGGGAGGUGUACUCCUUCUAAAGCUAAAUAUUGGCCAGAGACCGAUAGCGCACAAGUAGAGUGAUCGAAAGAUGAAAAGCACUUUGGAAAGAGAGUUAAACAGUACGUGAAAUUGUUGAAAGGGAAGCGCUUGCAAUCAGACUUGCGCGGCGUCGAUCAGCCUGGGUUCUCCCUGGUGCACUCGGCGCCGCUCAGGCCAGCAUCAGUUUCGGCGGUGGGAUAAAGGCCUAGGGA